GGAAGGAUCAUUAUCACGAAUAUCCACUAUUCAAACCAACCGUGAACUGUUCUCCUCCCGAGUUGAAUAUAAAUUAUAAUUUAUUUUAUAAUUUUAAUACAGCUCGGCUACCAUUAUAUAUUAUUAUUAUAUGAUAAUAUAUAUUUAUCAAUUAACAAACCCCAAUCAUUUAAAUUGAACCUUAUUGCUUUGUUUCUCUUCUCUUUUGAAUUGAAUACAGAACAAUUACUCAACACACUAAAAAAGCCAUCAUAUAUCUUUAUUGAAUGUAUGUUGUUGUUUUUUUAUCUCUAUUACGAAAUUUACGUAUAGUUUUAUAAAACAACUCUUAGCAAUGGAUAUCUUGGUUCUCGCAACGAUGAAGAACGCAGCGAAAUGCGAUAUGUAAUGCGAAUUGCAGAAUUCAGUGAAUCAUCAAAUCUUUGAACGCAAAUUGCGCUCUCGGGAUAUACCUGUGAGCACGCUCCUUUGAGUAUCGGUUCUAAUACAACUCAACUGUUUCUCUAUAAAAUGAUAAAUAAGUUGGAUAAUGAGUGUUGUUCUUGAGAUAUAUAAUAAUUUAAUUAUUAUUAUCUACCUCAAGUCACUUUAAAGAUGUCGAGUUAAGUGAUGUCCAUCACACAUACCGUUUGAGAGCUGCUAUGAAAACAGUUGCUUUGCACUAUGAAACAUAGAGUGACGUAGAUAAUCUCACCUUUACGGUGUUAAACUAUUUUGCGUCAUAUAACUUUAUGUUCGACUGUGUUUAAAGUUAGCUUUGUAGCUCUCCUUUGUGUAGGGAAUGUUAAGCUUAACGUGUACAGGGUUUACUUUAUACCUAAACCCAUCUCAAUUGAAUUUAAUUAUUCUAUUGAAUUAUAGAUCUCAAAUGGAGCGAGAAUACCCCCUGAAUUUAAGCAUAUUAAUAAGGGGAGGAAAAGAAACUAACAAGGAUUCCCUUAGUAACGGCGAGUGAAGCGGGAAGAGCUCAAAUUGAAAAUCGUGAACCCAAGCGGGUUCUUGAAUUGUUUUCUAGAGACGUGUUGUCAGCGGUGACCUAGAUUGAAGUCCCUUGAAACAGGGCAUCAUAGAGGGUGAGAAUCCCGUCUGAAAUCUGGAGUUCGCCGCGUACGACGCAUGAUCAUCGAGUCGAGUUGUUUGGGAUUGCAGCUCUAAUUGGGUGGUAAGUUUCAUCUAAAGCUAAAUAUUGGCGAGAGACCGAUAGCGAACAAGUACCGUGAGGGAAAGAUGAAAAGAACUUUGAAAAGAGAGUUAAAAAGUACUUGAAAUUGUUAAGAGGGAAGCGCUGAAAUUCAGUCAUUUGCUCUAGGUUAUUUUGCUAUUUGCUUACGAAGGAUAAGGUGAUCAAGUGUGUAAACCUUGAUUGUUUUUAUUGGACGAUAGGUGAGUGGUUUCUGUAAUUUAGAGUGAGUCAAAAUCUUUUCGAGACGCGUGAGAAAGCUAUGAGGAAGGUAGGUUAGGUAGCAAUAUCUAACUGUUAUAGCCUUGUAGCCCUAACGUGUCUUGGAUUGAGGAAAGUGAUAUAACGCGCCGCAGGCUUGGUAGCUCAUUUCUGCUGAUUGAUCAUGGUCAAGAUAACAAUGUUAUGUAGCUGUGAUCAGUUGGUACUAGGUGGGACUAUUUUAUGCGUUAUCGCGAUUUUGACGAAAUGGAUUUCAUCGACCCGUCUUGAAACACGGACCAAGGAGUCUAACAUAUAUGCGAGUAUUUGGGUGGAAAACUCAUAUGCGUAAUGAAAGUAAAGGCUGGCUUGCUAGCUGUGGUAGGAAUCGUCGCAAGGCGAGGCACUAUCGACCGAUCAUCACUUGUGAAAGAUUUGAGUAAGAGCAUAUCUGUUGGGACCCGAAAGAUGGUGAUCUAUGCCUGAACAGGGUGAAGCCAGGGGAAACUCUGGUGGAGGCUCGUAGCGAUACUGACGUGCAAAUCGUUCGUCUGAUUUGGGUAUAGGGGCGAAAGACUAAUCGAACCAUCUAGUAAGGUGGUUAAGAAUUGCUCUAUAACGGGCAGUUAGUAAAUAAAUAUCAAUCAGGAUAUAUAUUUGCUAGACAUUCAAAUUGCAGGAACCUCUCGUAUAAUGUAUAUCUACCAAGUAAAGAAUGGAAACAUUCCUUAUGGCUUCGUCGAAAGGUCGAAGGUAUGGUAAUAAUGAUAUAUUUGAGAUUACCCGCAGCCAAACACUAAGGUUUAUCUUAAUAAAUAAACUAUGUGCGCAGUUAAGAGACUAAAUGUGUGUCGGUGCAUAUUCUAUAUAGAAUAUCUACUUAAGAUAUAGUCCACUCCUGAUAGUAGAUAUCAGGUAAUGUAAGGCUAGUAGCUGGUUCCCUC
rnacentral:misc_RNA from 1 species